UACAGAGGGUGCAAGCGUUGUUCGGAAUCAUUGGGCGUAAAGGGCGUGUAGGCGGUCUGUUAAGUCAUGUGUGAAAGCCCUCGGCUCAACCGAGGAACUGCGCUCCAAACUACCGUGCUAGAGGAAGAUAGAGGUGAGCAGAACUGAUGGUGGAGCGGUGAAAUGCGUUGAUAUCAGCAGGAAUACCGGAGGCGAAGGCGGCUCACUGGGUCUUUUCUGACGCUGAGGAACGAAAGCUAGGGGAGCAAACGGG
rnacentral:rRNA from 1 species